rnacentral:rRNA from 1 species
UACGUAGGGUCCGAGCGUUGUCCGGAAUUAUUGGGCGUAAAGGGUGCGUAGGCGGCGCGGUAAGUCGGGUGUGAAAUCUCGGGGCUUAACUCCGAAACUGCAUUCGAUACUGCCGUGCUUGAGGACUGGAGAGGAGACUGGAAUUUACGGUGUAGCGGUGAAAUGCGUAGAUAUCGUAAGGAAGACCAGUGGCGAAGGCGGGUCUCUGGACAGUUCCUGACGCUGAGGCACGAAGGUCAGGGGAGCAAACGGG